AGUGAUUUGCUAUGAGUGCAAAAAACUGGGACACUACAAGAACGAUUGUCCUCAAGCCAAAAAGAGAACAUCAAAGAAGAAGGCGCUCAAGGCAACGUAGGAUGAUUCAAGCGCGUCCGAAGAAGAGGAGUCCAACACCGAGCAAGUUGCUCAUUACACCCUAAUGGCCAUCGGAGAAGAGGUAACAGAUUUAAUUGAUGCAGAUUUACCUUAUCAUGAAUUAUUAAA
rnacentral:lncRNA from 1 species